rnacentral:rRNA from 1 species
AGCUCCAAUAGCGUAUAUUAAAGUUGUUGCAGUUAAAAAGCUCGUAGUCUAACCCUUGGUCAUCCAGGAUUCUGCGUCCGAGGCCUAGCGUCUCGUGCAUGCAGCCUGGUGGCUAUUGUACUUCAGAGGAACAUGUGUGCUUUUCACUAAGUGCGCUUGGGAUUCUGAUAGUUUACUUUGAGAAAAAUAGAGUGUUCAAAGCAGGCGAUUUGCCUUGAAUACAUUAGCAUGGGAUAAUGAAAAAGGAUAUUGGUCCAUUUUCGAUGGUUUACGGACCGAUGUAAUGAUUAAUAGGGACAGUUGGGGACAUUCAUAUUCCAUGGCUAGAGGUGAAAUUCUUGGAUUCAUGGAAGAUGAACUACUGCGAAAGCAUUUGUCAAAGAUGUUUUCAUUGAUCAAG